UUUUAAAUUUAAAGCAGCGCAAGCUAAAGCUAUAAGUAUAAAAAGUGGUGUACAGGUGAGUAUAAUGAUAUUCUUAACCGGUCUUAAAGUGGGGGUAAAUCCUGCCAUAAUAAAUAAAGGGGAAGAGAGUACCCGCUUUUAGAGGAAAAUAAAUAUCUUCGAGAAAGGUAGUAGUUAAGGUAAUGACUUAACUAGCCUAGAACUCUCGUAGUCGAAGCUGAAAGGUUGAUUGUCCACAUUGGGUCUGAAAAAAGCCCCAUACUAUGUAAAGUACAGCAGUGGGGAAUAUUGGUCAAUGGCCUAACGGCUGAACUGGCAACUUGAAAAAGUGGCAAGUCCUAAUUUGAUCUUAUCAUAGAAUAUGGUCUAUAGGAUUCGAUUAAAAUUUGAAUGAAGCUUUGUUUAUAUAUAAUAUAAUGACAAUAUAUAUAUUUAGUCUUGACUAAUUGCGUGCCAGCAGUCGCGGUAAUACGUAAAAGAUAAGUUUUAAUCAUGUUAACUAGGUUUAAAGGGUACGUAGACGGUCAAUAUUACUUGAAUUUAGUGCUUGACUAGAGUUUGAUGUAAGAGAGGGGUACUCGUGGUGUAGAGAUUAAAUUCUAUGAUACCAAGGGGACACGGUAAAGGCGAAGGCAGCUCUUUAUGUAAAAACUGACGUUGAGGGACGAAGGCUUAGAGCACAAAGAGGAUUAGGUACCCUAGUAGUCUUUGCAGUAAAUGCUGAACGCUUUAGGUUAGAUUUAGAUUUAAUAGGCUUAGUUCGUCAGUAAAAAAGAACUAUAUAUUAAACAUUUUUUGGUCUAUAAAUGAAAAUUAAGCGUUUCACCUCAAGAGUAAUGUGGCAACGCUGAAACUGAAAUCACUAGACCGUUUCUAACACCAGUAGUGAAGUAUGUGUGCGACAAGAAGCAGAUAUUAGUAAUACGGUGUGAUUCCGUUUGGUAUUUUCUCUACCUAACACUAUUUACACAUGUAAAUUAGUAAUGAUUUAUGUGAAGCUGUAAUGACAAUGUAGCCUCUUUUAAAUGGGAAUGUUAAUAUAGAUAUUCUUUUUAUAUUAUCAGGAGCUAGUGUAAGUAAGACAUGGAAAGCGAAAGCAAAAUUAGCAACGACGCUUCGAUAUUUGUGUGUUAAGGAAGGUAAUAGGUUUUACAUACUAAUCUAUUAGAGAAACCAGAUUUCCGACGAAGUAAAGCUAUUUCCUAAAUCUUAUGUAAAUUGUGCUGAUAUCUGAACUUGGUAACCCCUUUAUUUUCAGUAAUAUAUUAGAUAUAUAUUAAAGAGGUAACAUAUAAGGUUUUAUUUAACCGAAGUUGUUAUACCCAUUAAAGGGAAGAGGAUUUGUUAAAAAGCAAAUGCUUUAUUUAGAUUUCAAUUGAAGAAAAUCUAAAUAAUAGAUAAAGAUAUAUAUAUAUAUAUAUUUAUAUUUGUUAAUUAGCAAGUUAUUAGUUAUUUAAAGAUUUAUAUAUAUUCAUGUAAAAAUGAAGCAAGCUAUGGGUAUCCUUAAAAAUUUAAGACAAUUAAAUUUAAACUUAAGAUUAUUAAAAUUAUUUAGCACUUUAGUGCCAAAAAAUAAUAUAAAUAGUUCUUUAUGUUGAUUUGUAAGUGGUCUAGUAGAUGCUGAAGGUAGCUUUGGUGUAAAUGUUGUUAGAAAAGAAUCUCUUCGGAGUAAAAUAGGCUAUUCUAUUCUAAUUUAUUUUGAAGUAGCUUUAAAUAAAAAAGAUAAACAACUGCUAGAAACUAUAAAGCAAGUAUUAAAUAUUGAAAAUACAUUAUAUUAUAAUGAAAGUGAUAAUACACUAAAAUUAAAGGUAUCUAAUUUAGAUAAAUUAAUUAAUAACGUAAUACCACAUUUUAAAAAAUACCCUUUAUUUACACAAAAGAAAGUAGAUUUUCUAUUAAUGUGUAAAGUAUUAAAAAUAGUUAAAGAAAAAAGACAUUUAACAAUAAUAGGUCUAAAUGAAAUACUAAGUAUAAAAACAACGAUGAAUCUAGGACUAUCUGACAAAUUGAAAAAUGAAUUUUUAAACAUAAAACCCUUAACAAGAUUAAUAGUUAAUACGGGUAUACCUAAUAAAGACUGAUUAACAGGAUUUAUGGAAGGAGAAUCUUGUUUUUAUAUAAGUGUAUAUAAUUCCCCUAAAUCGUUAUUAAAUUAUGCGGUACAAUUAGUAUUUAAAAUAACCCAGCAUUCAAGAGAUAAAGUAUUAUUAGAAAAUAUUUCAAAAUUAUUAGAGUGUGGUAGAGUAGAAACAAGAAAAUCAGGCGAUGCUUGUGAUUUUACAAUAACAUCAUUUAAUGAAUUCAAGAAAUAUAUGAUACCCUUUUUUGAAAACUAUCGCUACGCCUUAAAAGGUCAAAAAGCAAAUGACUGUAAAGAUUUUCAAAGAGUAUUUGAAAUAAUGCUAAAUAAGGGGCAUUUAACAGAAGAAGGGUUGGCUAAGAUAAUAGAAAUAAAAAACUCUAUGAACACUAAAAGAGAUUUGUCUAAUAGAAGUAAGCUAAAUAACUAAUAAUCAAUAUAAAUAUAUACAAAUAUUUAUUAAUAUAGCUGACUUAACAAGGGUGAAGUUUGACAUAUUCUAAGUAGUAUGUUAAGUUAUACUUGUAAUUAUGUUUGGGGCGAUGGCUCCUGUAGAAAAAUUUUGCUUGAGCCGUAUGCGAUGAAAGUUGCACGUACGGUUCUUUAAGGGGGAAAGUCCGAGAGGACCUACCUAUCUUGACUGUUUAAUUCGACAAUGCACGAAAAACCUUACCACAUUUUGUAUAAUUAAUACGGGAGUUGCACGGCUGUUUUCAGUUAAUGUUGUGAAAUUAUGGUUUCCAUUAAAUUAACGUAAUCCCUUGCUUUAUUUUUUUAAUUUUACGAUAAAGUAUUUGAUCCAGUAUAUUUGGAUAUAAAAAAGGGACAAAGACAAGUCCUCAUGACCUUUAUAUUGUGGGCUAUAGACGUGCCACAUUUGCCUAUACAAAGAGAUGCAAAAAUGUGAAUUUAAGCUAAUCUAAAAAAAUAGGAUAUAAAUUCUAAGGAUUGUAGUCUGAAACUCGACUACAUGAAUAAGUAAUUACUAGUAAUCGUGAAUUAGCAUGUCACGGUGAAUAAUUCUUGGAUUGGUACUAACAACUCGUCGCAUGCUGAAAAGAGAAAACGCAAAAAGUUUGCUUUUGGAGUAACAAGUAAACAUAACAUGUAGGUUUUGUUAGCAGCAAGCUACUUGUUAUGAAGAAUCUUCGAAUGCGGAACUCUAAUUGGUGUA
rnacentral:rRNA from 1 species